rnacentral:rRNA from 1 species
UACGUAGGGUGCGAGCGUUACUCGGAAUUACUGGGCGUAAAGCGUGCGCAGGCGGUUUUGUAAGUCAGACGUGAAAUCCCCGGGCUUAACCUGGGAACUGCGUUUGAAACUACAAGGCUAGAGUGUAGCAGAGGGGGGUGGAAUUCCACGUGUAGCAGUGAAAUGCGUAGAGAUGUGGAGGAACACCGAUGGCGAAGGCAGCCCCCUGGGUUAACACUGACGCUCAGGCACGAAAGCGUGGGGAGCAAACAGG